rnacentral:rRNA from 1 species
CCCAGACAGCCAGGAUGUUGGCUUAGAAGCAGCCAUCAUUUAAAGAAAGCGUAAUAGCUCACUGGUCGAGUCGGCCUGCGCGGAAGAUGUAACGGGGCUAAACCAUGCACCGAAGCUGCGGCAGCGACACUCAGGUGUUGUUGGGUAGGGGAGCGUUCUGUAAGCCUGUGAAGGUGGCCUGUGAGGGUUGCUGGAGGUAUCAGAAGUGCGAAUGCUGACAUAAGUAACGAUAAAGCGGGUGAAAAGCCCGCUCGCCGGAAGACCAAGGGUUCCUGUCCAACGUUAAUCGGGGCAGGGUGAGUCGACCCCUAAGGCGAGGCCGAAAGGCGUAGUCGAUGGGAAACGGGUUAAUAUUCCCGUACUUGGUGUUACUGCGAAGGGGGGACGGAGAAGGCUAUGUUGGCCGGGCGACGGUUGUCCCGGUUUAAGCGUGUAGGUGUGUGUUCCAGGUAAAUCCGGUUCACUUUAACACUGAGGCGUGAUGACGAGGCACUACGGUGCUGAAGCAACAAAUGCCCUGCUUCCAGGAAAAGCCUCUAAGCAUCAGGUAACAUCAAAUCGUACCCCAAACCGACACAGGUGGUCAGGUAGAGAAUACCAAGGCGCUUGAGAGAACUCGGGUGAAGGAACUAGGCAAAAUGGUGCCGUAACUUCGGGAGAAGGCACGCUGACACGUAGGUGAAGUGAUUUACUCAUGGAGCUGAAGUCAGUCGAAGAUACCAGCUGGCUGCAACUGUUUAUUAAAAACACAGCACUGUGCAAACACGAAAGUGGACGUAUACGGUGUGACGCCUGCCCGGUGCCGGAAGGUUAAUUGAUGGGGUCAGCGCAAGCGAAGCUCCUGAUCGAAGCCCCGGUAAACGGCGGCCGUAACUAUAACGGUCCUAAGGUAGCGAAAUUCCUUGUCGGGUAAGUUCCGACCUGCACGAAUGGCGUAAUGAUGGCCAGGCUGUCUCCACCCGAGACUCAGUGAAAUUGAACUCGCUGUGAAGAUGCAGUGUACCCGCGGCAAGACGGAAAGACCCCGUGAACCUUUACUAUAGCUUGACACUGAACAUUGAGCCUUGAUGUGUAGGAUAGGUGGGAGGCUUUGAAGCGUGGACGCCAGUCUGCGUGGAGCCGACCUUGAAAUACCACCCUUUAAUGUUUGAUGUUCUAACGUGGACCCGUAAUCCGGGUUGCGGACAGUGUCUGGUGGGUAGUUUGACUGGGGCGGUCUCCUCCUAAAGAGUAACGGAGGAGCACGAAGGUUGGCUAAUCCUGGUCGGACAUCAGGAGGUUAGUGCAAUGGCAUAAGCCAGCUUGACUGCGAGCGUGACGGCGCGAGCAGGUGCGAAAGCAGGUCAUAGUGAUCCGGUGGUUCUGAAUGGAAGGGCCAUCGCUCAACGGAUAAAAGGUACUCCGGGGAUAACAGGCUGAUACCGCCCAAGAGUUCAUAUCGACGGCGGUGUUUGGCACCUCGAUGUCGGCUCAUCACAUCCUGGGGCUGAAGUAGGUCCCAAGGGUAUGGCUGUUCGCCAUUUAAAGUGGUACGCGAGCUGGGUUUAGAACGUCGUGAGACAGUUCGGUCCCUAUCUGCCGUGGGCGCUGGAGAACUGAGGGGGGCUGCUCCUAGUACGAGAGGACCGGAGUGGACGCAUCACUGGUGUUCGGGUUGUCAUGCCAAUGGCACUGCCCGGUAGCUAAAUGCGGAAGAGAUAAGUGCUGAAAGCAUCUAAGCACGAAACUUGCCCCGAGAUGAGUUCUCCCUGAGACUUAGAGUCUCCUGAAGGAACGUUGAAGACGACGACGUUGAUAGGCCGGGUGUGUAAGCGCAGCGAUGCGUUGAGCUAACCGGUACUAAUGAACCGUGAGGCUUAACCUUACAACGCCGAAGAUGUUUUG